GUAAAGUUUUAUUUAAACCGAAAAAAUAUUGACUGACUUUAGAUUUUUCUUUGGAACAUGUGUUUGGAGAGCCCUCCUUUUUUGCGAAUUUUGUAGGUACAUGUAUGAUUGUUUAGUUUUUAUAUUAUUUGUAAUGCUUUUAAAUUUAAAACAGAUAUAUAUUUGGCUGAUGAAUUCGGUUCUCAUGUGUUACUAUUAUUAAUUUUUUUUGGAUAAUUUAUUAAUUUUUUUUUGAAAUUGGAAAAGAAAGUA
rnacentral:rRNA from 1 species